UACGUAGGGUGCAAGCGUUGUCCGGAAUUAUUGGGCGUAAAGGGCUCGUAGGCGGUUUGUCGCGUCGGGAGUGAAAACCAGGUGCUUAACACCUGGCUUGCUUUCGAUACGGGCAGACUAGAGGUAUUCAGGGGAGACUGGAAUACUUGGUGUAGCAGUGAAAUGCGUAGAUAUCAAGUGGAACACCAGUGGCGAAGGCGAGUCUCUGGACAUUUCCUGACGCUGAGGCACGAAAGCCAGGGGAGCAAACGGG
rnacentral:rRNA from 1 species